CACUGCUGUGUUUACUUUACCGCUUUUUUUAGAGGGACACAUUUAGACGCGGACGAGACCUGUUAUUUCAGUGGCGGUGGCCGACAUUGGGACUGCGGCUGUCUGAUGCAACAGCUACCCUGUGUGCGCGCGCGUGUGCUCACGUGUGUCCUCCCACUGGGGUUAAAGCAGGCCAAAUCUACAGCGUGGACUGUGGUGAGAGUGACACACAUUAAGCUCUAGGGUAACACGUUGUUGUGUUUGGAGGAGAAAGGGCUGGUCUGCCCCUUUACACACACGGGAAGUGUAACCAACUUCAGUCCUUCAUGGGCCGUGUAUAAUGGAUUUUACCUAAUGGGGGCAGCCUGGUCGGACAUCUUCAGCAAAGGAA